UGUCAACCUGUGAACGUCAGCUUCAGUGUGAAAGUUUUCAAGUGAAUCAUCAGUUGUUAAUAUUCCCGUCUCCUAAAAGCUUCUAAUACGCUUUCUGUCACGUCAUUUAGGCACCCGGAGCGGUAUUGGAAAGCGUCAGUCUCCUGCCAGAAGGUUCUGAAGUGGCAUUUUCUGCAGCCUUGAUGACUCUCUUCCAGGCUGGACUCCAUGUGGACAGUGUUAAUACCAAACCAGAGAGGGGUUUGUGGGUUAAGAUGGUCUAUUUAUUUGCCCUCCUGGAAAAAGAGAACGUAUUUCGAGACGUCAAAAUAUUUUGUUCGCCUUCAUUCAAUUGCAAGAGGAGCCGUAGGUGAAGUAAGAAAAAUGUAUGUUUAUCAAAAUUUUGGUGCGCGGUCGAUGGUUACAUGUUUGUAUAUAUUUCAUAC
rnacentral:lncRNA from 1 species